rnacentral:rRNA from 1 species
GCGGUAACAGGUCCAGCUUGCUGGAUGCUGACGAGCGGCGGACGGGUGAGUAACGCAUAGGAAUCUACCCGGUAGUGGGGGAUAACCUGGGGAAACCCAGGCUAAUACCGCAUACGUCCUACGGGAGAAAGGGGGCUUUGGCUCCCGCUAUUGGAUGAGCCUAUGCCGGAUUAGCUGGUUGGUGAGGUAAUGGCUCACCAAGGCGACGAUCCGUAGCUGGUCUGAGAGGAUGAUCAGCCACAUCGGGACUGAGACACGGCCCGAACUCCUACGGGAGGCAGCAGUGGGGAAUAUUGGACAAUGGGGGCAACCCUGAUCCAGCCAUGCCGCGUGUGUGAAGAAGGCCCUCGGGUUGUAAAGCACUUUCAGCGAGGAAGAACGCCUGUCGGUUAAUACCCGGCAGGAAAGACAUCACUCGCAGAAGAAGCACCGGCUAACUCCGUGCCAGCAGCCGCGGUAAUACGGAGGGUGCAAGCGUUAAUCGGAAUUACUGGGCGUAAAGCGCGCGUAGGUGGCUUGAUAAGCCGGUUGUGAAAGCCCCGGGCUCAACCUGGGAACGGCAUCCGGAACUAUUAGGCUAGAGUGCAGGAGAGGAAGGUAGAAUUCCCGGUGUAGCGGUGAAAUGCGUAGAGAUCGGGAGGAAUACCAGUGGCGAAGGCGGCCUUCUGGACUGACACUGACACUGAGGUGCGAAAGCGUGGGUAGCAAACAGGAUUAGAUACCCUGGUAGUCCACGCCGUAAACGAUGUCGACCAGCCGUUGGGUGCCUAGCGCACUUUGUGGCGAAGUUAACGCGAUAA